GGUCUCGUAGUGUAGUGGUUAUCACGUCGUCCUGUCACGGCGAAGAUCGCGGGUUCAAGUCCCGUCGAGACCG
rnacentral:tRNA from 1 species